rnacentral:lncRNA from 1 species
AGAGGCAGAUAUUGUGGAGCAACGGGAAUUGGAGCCUUUCAUCUUUCCACACACAGGUCGUCUUGAGUAUGACACUUUGAGUUUAAUGCCUGAGUGUGGGUAGGAAGAUAUUUACUGGAGCACGAGCAGAGCGUGAACAGAAGUCGGUGGCUACACUAUUGAGGAAAAUGAGGCCUUCUCCCUCGAUAACUGCCAAUAGUCCCUCAAAGAGGGUGUCUCAUGGACCCAUUCCCCAUCCACGGUGAAGUAAUAGUCUACCUAAUCUUGUACGUGUCUAGUGCAGGUAAUCAUGGCUGCUGUGAGUUCUUGAGUACAGUGGCUAUGUCAUGUCUAGACGUUAUCUUUCUGUUGUCCAUCUCCCUAUCCUCUGGCUCUUAAGUUCUUCACAUGCCUGCUUCAGGGAUGCUUCCUGAGCCUAGCAGGGAGUGAUAUAGCCAUCACAUUUAGGGACAUGCAUUUCACCAUCACUUAAUUCUUAUCCCUUUAGCCAGUUAUUUAAUAUAAUAUUGAAUAAAAGAAUUUGGACA